rnacentral:rRNA from 1 species
UACGGAGGGUGCAAGCAUUAAUCGGAAUUAUUGGGCGUAAAGGGCGCGUAGGCGGAUGGGAAAGUCAGAUGUGAAAUUCCGAAGCUCAACUUCGGAGCUGCAUUUGAAACUUCCGAUCUUGAGGAAUGGCGGAGAAAAUGGAAUUCCACGUGUAGCGGUGAAAUGCGUAGAGAUGUGGAAGAACACCUGUGGCGAAAGCGGUUUUCUAGCUUAAUCCUGACGAUGAGGCGCGAGAGAAAGGGGAGCAAACAGG